rnacentral:rRNA from 1 species
UUAGAGGCAAACGGGUGGACCCGCAAUGUGUCGACUCGGGGGAUUCAACCGGGCCGUUGCGCACGGGACGCGCUGGGGUUAUGCGGAGCCGUAAAGCCCGUGCCUUGGCGUGGGUCUCCGGGCGGCCUGGUGCACUUUCCUCGGGUCGAUGGCCACGGCCGGCUCUCCGUGCGGCCAGAAGCCUGUCGCUGGUAAGGUGACCGCGGUCCCCGCGGUGUUAUAGACCAGCCUGUCCGUUGAGCUCGUCGGAGGGCCGAGGAAGGUUGCCGCGUCCCGUCACCCUCUGGCCAUCCUUGCUCGUCACGACUGGGGUGUACUGGUCCGUCAGUGCUCUCCCGACCGCGAGCGUAGGAAGGGCUGGUACGGUGUGGGACUUUGCUUCGGGCCAGUGGCGAAUCGGUCGGUCCCCCACCCGACC